GUUGGGAGGAAUGUUGUCUGGCUCGAAGCUUUAGAACCUUUUGUGUUCAAUGCAUAUCGGACCAGGCUUCAUUCCUCUCAAA